AGCAUAUCAAUAAGCGGAGGAAAAGAAACCAACAGGGAUUGCCCCAGUAACGGCGAGUGAAGCGGCAACAGCUCAAAUUUGAAAUCUGGUCCCCAGGGCCCGAGUUGUAAUUUGCAGAGGAUGCUUUUGGUGAGGUGCCUUCCGAGUUCCCUGGAACGGGACGCCAUAGAGGGUGAGAGCCCCGUCUGGUUGGAUACCGAGCCUCUGUAAAGCUCCUUCGACGAGUCGAGUAGUUUGGGAAUGCUGCUCUAAAUGGGAGGUAUAUGUCUUCUAAAGCUAAAUAUUGGCCAGAGACCGAUAGCGCACAAGUAGAGUGAUCGAAAGAUGAAAAGCACUUUGAAAAGAGGGUUAAAUAGUACGUGAAAUUGUUGAAAGGGAAGCACUUAUGACCAGACUUGGCCCCGGUGAAUCAUCCAGCGGUUCCCGCUGGUGCACUUUGCCGGGGUUCAGGCCAGCAUCAGUUCGCUCCGGGGGAUAAAGGCUUUGGGAAUGUGGCUCCCUCGGGAGUGUUAUAGCCCAUUGCGUAAUACCCUGUGGCGGGCUGAGGUUCGCGCUUUAUGCAAGGAUGCUGGCAUAAUGGUCAUCAGUGACCCGUCUUGAAACACGGACCAAGGAGUCGUCUUCGUAUGCGAGUGUUCGGGUGUUAAACCCCUACGCGUAAUGAAAGUGAACGCAGGUGAGAGCCCUCCAGGGCGCAUCAUCGACCGAUCCUGAUGUUCUCGGAUGGAUUUGAGUAAGAGCAUACGGGGCCGGACCCGAAAGAAGGUGAACUAUGCCUGUAUAGGGUGAAGCCAGAGGAAACUCUGGUGGAGGCUCGCAGCGGUUCUGACGUGCAAAUCGAUCGUCAAAUAUGGGCAUGGGGGCGAAAGACUAAUCGAACCUUCUAGUAGCUGGUUUCCGCCGA
rnacentral:rRNA from 1 species